rnacentral:rRNA from 1 species
UGGAGUAUGUGGUUUAAUUCGAUGCAACGCGAAGAACCUUACCUGGUCUUGACAUCCCGGAGACCCUUAGGAAACUAGGGGUGCUUCCAUCUGGAAGAAUCUGGAGACAGGUGCUGCAUGGCUGUCGUCAGCUCGUGUCGUGAGAUGUUGGGUUAAGUCCCGGCAACGAGCGCAACCCUUGCCUUUAGUUGCCAGCAGUUCGGCUGGGCACUCUAAAGGGACUGCCGGUGUUAAACCGGAGGAAGGUGGGGAUGGACGUCAAGUCCUCAUGGCCUUUAUGACCAGGGCUACACACGUACUACAAUGGCCGAUACAAAGGGCAGCGACACUGCGAGGUGAAGCCAAUCCCGUAAAAUACGGUCUCAGUCCGGAUUGGAGUCUGCAACUCGACUCCAUGAAGUUGGAAUCGCUAGUAAUCGUGGAUCAGCAUGCCACGGUGAAUACGUUCCCGGGCCUU